GAUAAACGCUGGCGGCGUGCCUAACACAUGCAAGUCGAGCGGCAGCGGUUCCUCACCGAGGUUCGGAACAGCAAAAUGCAAAAUGUAAUUAGUAAAAAGAAUGGUUCUAUCCUCCUUUUUGCUUCUUACCUUUUACUAAUUGCUAAUUUCCGUAGCUUUAGUGAGGAAGCCGGCGAGCGGCGGACGGGUGAGUAACGCGUGGGAAUCUACCCUAAACUGAGGGAUAAGCACCGGAAACGGUAGUCUAAUACCGCAUAUGGUCUUCGGAUUAAAGCUUCGGCGGUUUAGGUAAGAGCCGCGUAAGAUUAGCUAGUUGGUAAGGUAAUGGCUUACCAAGGCGACAAUCUUUAGUCUGGUUUGAGAGGAUGAUCAGCCACACUGGAACUGAGACACGGUCCAGACUCCUACGGGAGGCAGCAGUGAGGAAUUUUCCACAAUGGGGCAACCCUGAUGGAGCAACGCCGCGUGCAGGAUG
rnacentral:rRNA from 1 species